rnacentral:rRNA from 1 species
UGAGGCCCCAGGUCAGGCGGG